GAUGAAUACCCACCAUUUGCUUCAAGGUGGUUGGAACUGGAGGGUAUGAUACUGAGUGAACCUAUGCCAUCUGAAAAUUUCUGUAUUGAAGGCUUUCCCAUCAAGUGGAAGCAGAUUCAGUAAUUUCAACUUCACCUGCAGAUGCUGGAUCCUCCUCUAUUCAAAGUACUAUGAUACCUGUUGUAAACUGAGAGAAGCAAUCAAUAGCUAAGAGUGAGGGCACAGCCCUGUGCUGAAAAUCUGACCAGCAAUUUUUACCUGCAAAUCUGCAAUCUCCUGAAAUAAUAUUUGUUCAAAUAGCAUCAUUCUAUUCUAGAUAAAAAUACUCCAGCUUCCUCGCAAGAAAUAGUGUUAUUGCAAGCUUGAACUAUUGAAAAAGUAAUAUUGCCUCCAAGGGGGUACGCCAUCUUAAUAAGACAUAUCUUCAAGACAACGAAAAAUGUACUUUCCAAAUCCUACAUGCGUUAUAAACCACCACUUACGAAACCUUUGUUCUAAAGUGUUGCCAAUUUUACCUGAGGCAGGCAUUUUACUGCAUUUAAAAGGUCUCCAAGGAUGUUGGGGAAUCUUAGGUGAACCUGCAGGCCUGGUGGAUAUAAUGAAAACUAAACUUUUUGUUUUGUGAAGUUUUCUCAAGGCUUUUCUCCUGGGUAUUGAAAUGUAACUUCCAUUUUGCUAGUCUAACUUCACCAUGUAGUGCGAGCAGAAAUUAUAGGAAAAGAAAUAGCUGGUGAAUAUAAUAAACAAAAAAAUAGAGCUCUCUCCCCACCUGCUGUUCUAUGGAAGGACCUGAUGGUAGAAAUUUUGUUAAUCUAAUUAAAAAUAGAUGCCAGCGGUCCAUAAACAUGAGACCAGUAUUAUUUUUGGAAUCUUUUACUUUUGUGACAUACUGGCUGGUUAGCUCUAGAAAAAGAUUUUGGGGCA